CAGGCUGGUCUCAAACUCCUGAGCUCAAGCAGUCCACCCACCUCUGCCUCCCAAAGUGCUGAGAUUACAGGUAGAACCCUGGAAGAAGAGGAAGAGGAAGGCAAAGGAGUCAGGGAUGGCUCUUCCUCAGGAAAAACAACUCAAAAACCAUGUUUUCCUCUGCUCUCACACCAACACCACAAUCCACACAGAAGACUUCUGUGGCCAAAUGCGAGGGGUUUCUCCCCACCAACAAACAGCAAGCAACCAACUGGCUGUCCUCCAGUUCAGUUCCAACACUGUCUGCAUGAAGAUAGUGUCAGAUCUCACAGAUUGAUGGCUCAGUUCCCAGUUGCAUGUCCAGGCCUCUGAAACUUCUGACCGACCAACUUCAAGUUGAAGUUCCCAUGAACCCUUCUUUGGGUUGGAUUUAUUUGCUGGAGCAACUCUUAGAGGUCAGAGAAACACUCAGUUUUACUGGUUGAUUAUAAAUACUAUUACAGAAGAUACCAGUGAAGAGAUGCAUAAGGUGAGGUAUGGGGAAAGGGGCGCAGAGCUUCCCUGCCCUCCCUGGGUAUGCCGUCCUCCAGGAACCUCCACAUGUCAGCCCUCUGGAAGCUCCCUGAACCCACUGCACUCCAGCCUGGGUGACAAAGC
rnacentral:lncRNA from 10 species